GGUAACCUACCCUGUACACACGGAUAACAUACCGAAAGGUAUGCUAAUACGGGAUAAUAUAUUUGAGAGGCAUCUCUUAAAUAUCAAAGGUGAGCCAGUACAGGAUGGACCCGCGUCUGAUUAGCUAGUUGGUAAGGUAACGGCUUACCAAGGCAACGAUCAGUAGCCGACCUGAGAGGGUGAUCGGCCACAUUGGAACUGAGACACGGUCCAAACUCCUACGGGAGGCAGCAGUGGGGAAUAUUGCACAAUGGGCGAAAGCCUGAUGCAGCAACGCCGCGUGAGUGAUGAAGGCCUUCGGGUCGUAAAACUCUGUCCUCAAGGAAGAUAAUGACGGUACUUGAGGAGGAAGCCCCGGCUAACUACGUGCCAGCAGCCGCGGUAAUACGUAGGGGGCUAGCGUUAUCCGGAUUUACUGGGCGUAAAGGGUGCGUAGGCGGUCUUUCAAGUCAGAAGUGAAAGGCUACGGCUCAACCGUAGUAAGCUCUUGAAACUGGGAGACUUGAGUGCAGGAGAGGAGAGUGGAAUUCCUAGUGUAGCGGUGAAAUGCGUAGAUAUUAGGAGGAACACCAGUUGCGAAGGCGGCUCUCUGGACUGUAACUGACGCUGAGGCACGAAAGCGUGGGGAGCAAACAGGAUUAGAUACCCUGGUAGUCCACGCUGUAAAC
rnacentral:rRNA from 1 species